rfam:Myotis davidii contig321789, whole genome shotgun sequence.
GUGCUCGCUUUGGCAGCACAUCUACUAAAGUUGGAACGAUAUAGAGAUUAGCAUGGCCCCUGCACAAGGAUGACAUGCAAAUUUGUGAAGCGUUCCAUAUUAAA